UAUGAUUUCUCUUUAUUUUAGUAUCCCGACAUGCUGGUUACUAUGUCUUUAUAACAAAUCGGACUGUAAGGGCAAGUGAACUUACCUCUUUAGAGCCAGUGUAUCACGAUGAGGAAGCCAAUGUCAGUCAUCAGAACACUAUCAUUUUUCCCGAAGGGCGGUCCGGUGUACAAGUGUUCCUUUACGUCAAUAAAUCCGAGCCAGGGACAGAGUUUGUUAUGAUAGAGCCUUGUGAGGUGGAAAUUUACGGUUGUAUUGAAGAUGAUGGCGAUAAAUGUGCUUGCUCAAACGAAACAAUAUUUGGUCCUUGGAGUACUAAUGUAGUGUUUAAUACUGGAUCCCUAGCCCUCACUUGUAACAGUAAAUACUUGUCCAUAAGGAAUCUGUCGGAGUUCGAGGAUUCACAGUUUGUUUCAAUACUGAAGAAAUGUGAUGGAAAAUCUCAGUGCGCUAUAAAAACUUCCCAUAUUCAGCACAAAUCUAUCAACUUUUACU